rnacentral:lncRNA from 1 species
GAAAUUGGGUAAAAGUCUAUCAAAAGUUCAGUUAAAAAUGCUUAUUUGCUUACAAAAACAACCUGGUUAGCAGUAACGAUGACCACAUAUACAAAUGAGUCAUCAAAAUGGUCAAGUAACCGAAGCGAUUGCACACACGCACACAUGCACCACGUGCCGCUUCCACACCACACCCAUCCCGCGUGUCUCAUUGUGACUCAAAACAACAACCAGGACAAAAUACCAAACUGGCUGGGAUGCCAAGACCAACUUCUAAAACUGGGACGUAUGGUAAGCCUGAAUAUGAACAAACACCAAAGCAGCUCAUCAAGAAUUGGCAAAUAACAAAUGACAUCACACAAUUCUAUGCAUGUGCAUGUAGCAGCCUGC